rnacentral:rRNA from 1 species
AGUGAACGCUGGCGGUAGGCCUAACACAUGCAAGUCGAACGGCAGCACAGUAAGAGCUUGCUCUUACGGGUGGCGAGUGGCGGACGGGUGAGGAAUACAUCGGAAUCUACUUUUUCGUGGGGGAUAACGUAGGGAAACUUACGCUAAUACCGCAUACGACCUACGGGUGAAAGCAGGGGAUCUUCGGACCUUGCGCGAUUGAAUGAGCCGAUGUCGGAUUAGCUAGUUGGCGGGGUAAAGGCCCACCAAGGCGACGAUCCGUAGCUGGUCUGAGAGGAUGAUCAGCCACACUGGAACUGAGACACAGUCCAGACUCCUACGGGAGGCAGCAGUGGGGAAUAUUGGACAAUGGGCGCAAGCCUGAUCCAGCCAUACCGCGUGGGUGAAGAAGGCGUUCGGGUUGUAAAGCCCUUUUGUUGGGAAAGAAAAGCAGCAGGUUAAUACCCCGCUGUUCUGACGGUACCCAAAGAAUAAGCACCGGCUAACUUCGUG